UAUGUCUAUUAGGCAUUUCUAGGUUGUGUUUGGAAAUCUAAACAAAUCGGUAAUCUGAACUACCUACUAAUUGGUUCGGACUUUUGACGCUCUACUGUAACUUAACUUAUAAUUUUAUUUGGUUAGUUAUGAGUUAACCUAACUAUCGAAACUUGAUACAUUGAAUGAAAUAAUCGAUAUAUUGACUGAUAUAACUUAUUCAUUCGAUUGUUUUUGGCCCCACUUAACUUAUGGAAGUCUACCCUGAGGUAGCAAACUUAACUGAAAUAGCAUGAACUUAACUUACCUAAGUUAAAUAUCUUGUAUUUCUCAGUCUAUGACAAAGCGAUGUAAAUAAAUUUGACUAUUUAGGCUAGUUGAAUUUUUAAAAAGGCUAGCCUAUAAGCCUUUGUAAAGUAGGAAACAAAAAAAUUUCAUCAACGGUUUUGAAAGAUUUUGCCUAAUUUAAAAUAGGCUACACUAAGUUAACUAGGCCUAAGUACUGUUCCGUAGAGUACCGUACCUAUGAUAAAUUAUCGGAUUAAAUUAUGAUCAGUUUGAUAAAUUAUGAAAAUUGCAUUGGAUAACUUAAGUUCUCACAACUUACAAUGAUUUAUGUUGGAUUGCAUCAUUACAUCAAUGUACAUUAAACUUUUCCUUAAUAACAAUAACGUGAUGAUGAAAAGUAAUUAAGUUAAUUCUAGUACCGUUUUCAUAAUCUAAGGCUUAGCCUACCUUACGAUCUUGGAUUUAUUUUGGAGACCUAGGUUUCUACGCCGGAGCGUUAUCGUCAGUCCUAGGCUAAGCUAAUCUUUUAGAAGUUUAAACACAUUAAAUCAAUUGGAUCGUAAGGUUAACCUUAGAUUAUUACAAUGUUUAAUAACGAUCCAGAGGUUAUUUAUCCAAAUUUAGUACCGUAUUAUUAAGUAGGUUGUGAAAGGAAAAAUCGAAGAUGUAGGUGGGUCGUAAAACCAAAAGGUUUGGGAACCGGUGACUUAGUAAACUAUUUUGUUUUUUAUAAUGUUUAUAGCUUAUGGUAUUUCUAAUUUUAGGACAACAACUUUUACAUAAAGAGAUAAAGGGAAGACCUAAAAAAUGUCAAAAAGGAAAUUAUGUACUUAUUCAUCACGUCACAUCCGCAGACUGGUUGAUAGAGAGCAGAAUUAUUCAGAACAAGAGAUUUCAUCGGAUGAAGAGAUUGUAAAUAGUUUUUUUAGCCAGCACACAACCAAUAUUGUUCCAAAUGAUAACUCAACACUUCAAUCAUCUACUCAAACACAACCCUUGUCCUCCACUUCAUCACCCAGCUUUCUAACAGACAUAUAUGGUUCAUCAUAUUCUGACACAGAUUCACUUGAAGAUGGUUCAGAUUGUUUUUCUUCUUCCAAUUCUACUUUGUCAAGCACAAUGACCAAUGAUGACCACAAUGAAUCAAAUAUCUUUUCAAAUGAUUCCUCAGUUAAAAAUCCAUGUAAUACUUCUGUGGACAUAGAUGAAAGUAAACUAGCAAACUGGGCUCUUACCAACAACAUCACCCACACAGCCUUGGGUUCUUUGCUUGAACUUUUAAAGACACAUCCUUGUCAUGCAAACCUUCCAAAUGAUGCAAGAACUAUUCUCAAAACACCUCGUAGCUCUAUUGUUAAAAGUGUACCUCCUGGCUCCUAUUACCAUUUUGGAAUUAAAAGCGAAGUCUGUAAAUAUUUAGGUGGGUCCAAUUUUCAAAUUGAUAAUUUCAAAGGUAUUGAACUGGCCAUUAAUAUUGAUGGUCUGCCCAUAUCAAAAUCAUCUAAUAGUGCGUUGUGGCCCAUAUUAGGUUCUUUAUUUGAAUCAAAAGAUGUAUUUAUGAUUGGUCUGUAUUUUGGUACAUCCAAACCGUCAGAUUGUUCGGUUUACUUGGAGGAUUUCGUCAAGGAGUGUAUUGACCUCACAACAAAUGGCUUCAAAUUUAACAAUAAAAUGUAUAAAUUCUCGCUUAAAGUAAUUACAUGUGAUGCACCAGCAAAAUCACUAGUUUUAUGUACAAAAAGUCAUGGUGGCUACUCCAGUUGUCCUAAAUGUACUGUAGUUGGUGAGUACAAGGAGAAAAGAGUAUGUUUUCCUUUGAUUGAUGGUAAUUUGAGGUCAGAUGAUGAUUUCCUACAACACAGAGAUGAGGACUACCAUAUGGGUAAAAGCCCUUUAGAAGUUAUCCCUGGCGUAAGGCUUGUGACAAAUGUGCCAUUUGAUUAUAUGCAUGUUGUAUGUUUGGGAGUAAUGAGGAAGUUAAUAAGACUUUGGUUGAAAGGGCCGCUAUCUGUGAGGAUUGGUAAUGCUUCUGAAGCCAUAAUUUCUAAUCAAUUGACAGAACUUGCUAACAUAUCUGUCCCCAAAGAGUUUGUUCGGAAGCCAAGACCCUUAAAUCAAGUAGCACACUGGAAAGCAACAGAGUAUAGACAGUUCUUAUUAUACUCUGGACCUGUUGUCCUUAAACAAGCUCUAAGGAAAGAGUUAUACAAUCAUUUUCUUGCUUUGCAUGUAGCAGUAAGAAUACUGUGCUGUCCGAUAUUAUUGAACCAGUUAGCUGAUUAUGCCAGGGAGUUAAUGAAAUAUUUUGUCAAAUGCUUCUCUCUUUUGUAUGGAGAGUGUUAUGUGUCCCAUAACAUCCAUGCGCUACUCCACCUACCAGACGAUUGCAUAAACUUUGGGGUUCUAGAUCAAUUCAGUGCCUUUAAGUUUGAAAACUUUUUGCAAUUACUGAAGGGAAAACUGCGCAAAUCUGAAAGACCACUUCAACAAAUCAUACGGAGGUAUCAUGAAAUGCAACACAAUAAUGUUAGCAAACCAUCAAAAACGACAAAUACUUUUGAAAUUAUCUUUACAUCACAACAUAACAAUGGGCCACUUCCAGCUAAUUGUGAGUCCCCACAGUACUCUGCUAUUCAGUACAAAAAUAUGUAUUUGAGUAGCAAAAGUGAAGCCGAUAAUGUUUGUGGCAUUCAAGGAGGGAGGAUAGUGAAAAUAAAAAAUAUUGCAAUCUGUUCUAUAAAUAAAACUCCAGUAAUCAUUGGUAAUGAAUAUGCAUCAAAAAAAGACUUAUUCUCCAAACCGUGCAGUUCCUCAUUACUUAAUACAUUUGUCAUUGGCGACGAAAAGAACAUUAAUAUCUGGCCUCUCAGUAAAGUAAAUUGUAAAUAUAUGAGAAUUCCAAUGGGUUCUGCUAAAUAUGCUGCAGUGCCUUUGCUCCACAGAGAUUGAAUUAAAGUUUAAGACUUUAUGAAUGUAAUGGAAGACGAUUAUGGAUGUAGACUACAUGAAACUGCGCUAUUGGAUAGUCGACCCUAUGCAAUUGUCGAAUUUCCGGAUGGAGUUCAGUUGGUUGCAGCCAAGUGGAUCACUGGGGAAACCGGUGAAAUGAC